UACGUAGGGCGCAAGCGUUAUUCGGAAUUAUUGGGCGUAAAGGGCUCGUAGGCGGUUUGUCGCGUCGGGAGUGAAAACUCAGGGCUUAACCCUGAGCCUGCUUCCGAUACGGGCAGACUAGAGGUAUGCAGGGGAGAACGGAAUUCCUGGUGUAGCGGUGAAAUGCGCAGAUAUCAGGAGGAACACCAGUGGCGAAGGCGGUUCUCUGGGCAUUACCUGACGCUGAGGAGCGAAAGUGUGGGGAGCGAACAGG
rnacentral:rRNA from 1 species